UAGUAACGGCGAGUGAAGCGGGAAGAGCUCAAGCUUAAAAUCUCCGUGCAAGUUUUGCGCGGCGAAUUGUAGUCUAUAGAGGCGUGGUCAGCGUGGGCGCUUGGGGCAAGUUCCUUGGAAGAGGACAGCAUGGAGGGUGAUACUCCCGUUCAUCCCUGAGUGGCUCGUGCGUACGACCCGUUUUCUUUGAGUCGCGUUGUUUGGGAAUGCAGCGCAAAGUAGGUGGUAAAUUCCAUCUAAAGCUAAAUAUUGGUGCGAGACCGAUAGCGAACAAGUACCGUGAGGGAAAGAUGAAAAGAACUUUGAAAAGAGAGUUAAAGAGUACCUGAAACUGCUGAAAGGGAACCGAAUCGUUUCCAGUGUCUAUAAUCUGUGGCAUAUUUCAUUGGCGAGCGUUUGCGUGCGUGUGCUGUGGCAGUGGCUUUUUUGGCUGCGCCUGGUGUGUGUGGUGUGAGUGUUUGCUGGUGCCCUGUGCUGCGGUGGGACGUCAAGGUCAGUUCGUAUGCUGCGGGAAAUGGCUGCCGAGGAGGUAGGGCUUACGCUCCGCGUUUGUCUGUUAUAUCUUGGUGGACGAGUCGUCGCGGUUGGGACUGAGGUGCCUACAACGUGCUUUUGAGUGGGUUUGUGUCUCCGUGUGCGCCGUGUGCGGAUAGCUUGCUAUGCGUGUGUGGUUGUGUGUGGAUGGAUGCGGGCCUUAACUUGUCGCCGUUC
rnacentral:rRNA from 1 species